rnacentral:lncRNA from 1 species
AAGUAUAAAAUGUUGAAUGAGAAACCCGAAGACCUUGCAUCGCUGGGCUGAAUAACUUGUUUUCUUUUUUAUGGUGUCCAGACUGAGUUCAUUUUUCUGAGGACCAAUGGUGAUAAGUGUUGGUCUGCCUAUCUUCCCAGAAUAAUCCAAGAUUUGGGGAAAGAAAGAGUAUUUUGCUAAUUUCAGCAAAGAAACAUAUAUUGGGGAAAGGAUACUGUAUUCAGUAAAUUGUGCUGGAAAAAGUGGUAAGCCACAUGUAGAAGAAUGAAACUGGAUCCCCAGCUCUCACCUAAUACAAAAAUCGACUCAAGAUGCAUCAAAGACUUAAAUAUAAAACCUGAAACCUUGAAAAUUCUAGAAGAUAACACCAGAAAAACUCUUCUAAAUGUUGGCUUACGCAAAGAAUUCAUGACUAAGACACCAAAAGAAAAUGCAACAAAAACAAAAAUAAAUAAAUGGGACUCAAUUAAACUGAAAAGAUUUUGCACACCAAAUAAAUAAUCAGAAGAAUAAACAGAAAACCCACAGAAUGGAAGAAAAUAUUCACCAACUAUGCAUCUGACAAAGGACUAGUAUCCAGAAUUUACAAGGAACUCAAACAAAUAAAUGAAUUCAAAUAUCCCAUUAAAAAGUGUGCAAAGGACAUGAAUAGACAAUUGUCAAAAGAAGAUAUACAAACAGCCAAUAAACAUAAAAAAAAAUACAGCAUCGCUAGUCACCAGGGAAAUGCAAAUUAAAACCACAGUGAGAUUCCACCUUACUCCCGCAAGAAUGUCCACAAUUAAAAAGUCAGAAAACAAUAGAUGUUGGCAUGGAUUUGGUGAAAAUCACAUCAGUGAAUACAGAUUUGGGAAGAAAUGUGCAUAACUGGUUUCAGCUAGCCAACACGCUGGUCCCAGUAUACCACUGGCUACGGCAUUCUAAAAGUGUCCUCAUAUGUAUCUAUUAAAUAUUCAAGAACUUUGACCAAUAUAUUCUCUGCCAAAUGCUCUCAAGAAAUCUUGGUGGAGAUGGUGUCGGGGUAAGGUGGGGGUUUUUCCGAAAUGGAAUCAUGUUAAUGUGGACUUAAUGUUAAAAUAUGAAUUUUCAAAAAAAUUUGCUUUACUUUCAGUAGGCUAAAUACCUACAUAGUAAAAUUUAAAAAAAUCUGUAAUUCUCUCUUAAUUUAUUCAUUAUACUAUUAUAUGUGGUAGGCAUUUUUUUCCUGGCUCUCAUAUCAUUUGUGUUUGUUUUAUACUAAUGAAAUACAGAAAAACUCUGUAGUAUAUAGAGCCCAAUGGAACUUUUAAGAGUGAGAAUUUUAAUUUGUAUAUUAUGGAAAAGUCAUCUCAGAAAUAUUAGUUUAUAAAUAUGCAGAUACAAUUUCUAGAAUGUCAAAAAAUAAUCCUUUCACCUGAGUUGUCUUAAGUAAAUAACUUUUAGGAUUUUUAAUUGGAUUAUUUAUGUAAUCAUUAUAAAGGAGAUCUGAGGUAAAUUGCUUAAGCAUUUUCUUUAGCUUUUUGCAAGACUAAAAAUGGAGAAUAAAUAUUUGCUCAAAUAUCGAGUCAAACUAAUUUUGAAGAGAAAUCUCUAAAUACUUUAUUAAAUGACCAAAAUAUAAGAAAAUGUUUAAAAAGACUGCAAAUAGAAACACAUCAGUUUAAAGCACACAAAGAGAUAAGUGGAAAAAGUAUUUUCUCAGAACAUGCUAAAAAAAACUUAGAAUAUCCAGGAUACUGCAUUUAUUCAUCCUUACAACAUGAAUUUUAAAUAUCUUAGCGACUGUGCUAUCAUUUUCAGUGUUCUGUAUGAAUUCUUACCUUCUCAGAAGAUUAUGUAGAUAUAACAGAUACUUCUGGAAUAUAUAUCCAUGAUAAGAUUUGUCUUUUUACAGGAGAAAAGAAAAUAUAUCAAGUCCAACAGAACUUAAGAAAAUACAAUUUAAUUAACUUUAUAUGAUAUAGGCCUUGUUAAUAUUAUAUAUCAAAAAAGAAUUCUAGUUUAUAUUCUUUUGUCUGUAAGAUGGGGGAGCUGUUGCAUUAUAAAAAAUACUGGUCAGUUCCAUUCCUCUAAGCAUUUUCUUUUGAUUAAAAUCAUUUGUAGUAAAAAUGAUGACCCAAACCUUUGUAAAUGAUAUUUUAGCUGGGUUAUAAUCUAAUGAAAUUGUGAUUUUAAAAGUGCUUCAAUUACUACAACUAUAAAAUCUUGGUUUACUAGGAAUAUGUAUAAGGUGAAGUAUCCAUUAUUUCUUUAACAUCAGUAUAUAUUGUUUAACAUUCUGCUUUUGGGCUAAGACUUCCUAGGCUUUACAGAAGAGAAGUUGUUUAUCUGAACAGUGUAAAAAUAUGUGUGUGUGUGUGUGUGUGUGUGUGUGUGUAUGUGUAUAAAAAUAUAUGUUCUGUUGUUAUUUAGUUAUGUCUUCCCUGAAAACACUGAUAGAUCCAACAAGUCUCUUGAUUCCUCUUAAAGAUAAGCAAGAAGAAGAAUAAAGUAUGUCACACUUAAACUUGAGUAAAUCCAAGUUGGAAAAACAGAAGCAGAUUUUUUUUUAAUCCUACAGGAUGAAUGUUGAGAGAGACAAAAAUAUUAACACCACAUAAAUUAUAACCUAGAGAAAUUCUAAACCAGGUUGAAAACCUACGCAUAAGCAGUCAAUAAUUAUCUUACACUUAUGCAAUACAAUUUUUUAUUACAGAAAGAACUUUAGUAAUUACCUCAUGCUGUAUAUAUGGGAAAGGAGAUAAGGAAGAAAAACUCUUUAUAGUAUGCAAUUAGUUAUCUCCUGCCUUAUCUUGGUAUUUGUAGAAACACUUGGAAGUAGGAAAAGUGAACAUUUGUAUCCCUGUUCUAUAGUUUAAAAAAUUGACACACAUAAGUUAUUUUUAAUUUAUCCAGUUAAUCACCAGUAAUCAUGAUGCUUUAUGAAUGACAAUUCUUUUAUAUUUAUUCAAAAAUAUGGGGAAAAUAAAUGACAUCUGCCUAUAUAACUUAAAAUUCUUGAAGAAAAUGUGUAUAGGAAUAACUUGGUAUGAAAUGUUAUAGAAAUGUUAGUUCUUUGUCUCUUAUAGUUACAGUAAGUGGCUAAUCAUCAUGUCUACGUUUAUGUAUAAUUUAUUUACAUUUUAAAAUGUUCUAACCUUGAAUACAUAGGGAACAAAUAUCUGAUGAUAGGUGUUUGCAAGGCAGCAUCAGUGAUUUUUCUUGAUAUUUUAUCUGAAAUAUCUGAGUAUCUACUAGGAAUCUAACAUGGAAAGGUAAUUACAUAUGAUGUUGGAAGCAAAUUUGUAUACACCCUAUUUAUGGCCAAGCAAAACAGUGUAAUGUGUCUGAGCAUGUAUGUGUUCCUUUCACCAGUUUUCUUGUGGUAGAAUUUAUAAAACUGCAUAUAUUCACAAUGUACAAUGUGAUGGUUUGACGUAUAUAUACAUUGUGAAAUAAUUACCACAAUCAAGUCAAUGAACACAUUCAUCACCUCAGCGUUUUCUAAAAUUACAUUUAUCAAACUGUAUUUGAAAGUAAAUGUGUUUUCUCAUUGUUAACCACGACUUUAAAACUUUAUUACAGAUUAAUGUUAAGAAAGCUACUGAAAUUAAUUUUAGUAAUAAAACAUCUGAAUAUACACCAUGAAAUGUAUAAAUGUAUGUGCUGAUUUUAGGAGUACAACUAAAUAAGUAAUGCAAACUUACUUGCAGGAUCAUCACUUUAACUCUGUCUCUCUCUCUCUCUCUCUCUUUAUAUAUAUGUCUCUCUCAUAUAUAUGAUAUAUCUUAUACAUCUAACUAUAUAUAUGUAGAGGAAGAAAGAGACACUAUAGAGUAAUACAACCUUUCCAUUAACUGCAUAUAAAGUCAGCCUUAUAAUAAUGCCCCUGGAUUAUCUGACCCUUUAAUAAAAUGUUAUACAUAUUUAGAGACUUGGAUUGUGCCUGUUUUUACUAACAGUUGUUAUUUAAAAUAUUAUUAGUAAGUUAAUUCAUAUAAACCAUGCAGAGAAGCUGUAUAACUGUGCAUAUAAAUAGUGAAGAGAAACUGAUCUGGCAUUCAGGGAUGUUGAGAUUAUUCCAACUCCGCUGCCAAUUGGCUGUGUGUCUUUGGAGAGGUCACAUAAUAUCUCCGAGCUAUAGUUUCCUUAUCAGUAACAUAGACUAGAUGAUUUUUAAAAUUUCACUCAGCACAUAAUUUGAUCUCUAACUUAAAAGAGCUGGAAUAAAAAUCACCACUAAAAAUUAUUAGCGUUACUAUGGUUGUACUUUGUUUUUAUACAUUACAGGCAUUAAAAACUACCUAGAGUUAAUUAGUAUUCGACAAAAUUAUUUCUUACAAAUCUUACGCUAUUCUGUAACGCAUGGGUCUAAUAUGUAUUUAAUGUAGCUUUCGUACAACUGCAAAAACUUCAAAGCAUAUCUGAACUUGUGGGUUUUGUAAGACUUGAACGCUAUAAAUGAAAGUAAUGGAAAUUUUAUUAUAUUCUAUUAUCGAUUGUGUGAUUAGAGUUGUUGAGUGGUAACUCAGUGUCUCAUGUGUGUGAAAGAGAGAGAAAUGAUGACAGUUGUAAAAGCCUAAGAUACACAAGACAGAAUAGUGGUUAGGAUCAUAAGCUUGGAAAUUAGAACCGAUAUUUUACUUCCAGUGUCUGCCACAUCUCAGUGGUAUGACUUUGGGAAAGUAGUUUAAUUUCUCUGAGUUACUUCAUCUGUAGUAUGCAGAUUACAAUAGCCACCGCACAGUGGGUAUAAAGAUGAGUAAGGUUAUAUUUUUGAACACGUAGAAGAGUAUCUGACAUACAAUAAGUGUGUACCGUUAAAGUAUACUUAAACAAAAUUUAAUAUUAAUAAAAGCUAUAUAUAG